rnacentral:sRNA from 1 species
CCAGGUGACGACAUAGUGCCAUCUCGACUACGGGAGUAGUCAUUUGGGUUGUUAACAAUUACUUCAGACCUAGCUCGCCGGUGCGAAUGUGGUUUGAUAUCCCUUUCACGUUCCCUCUCUCCCCUAUACCUUCGAUCAGCUCGAUCAGCGCUCCUGGAUCGCUCGCGACGAGUAUUGGGUGCAUCGAAGCGCCCAUCAUCGUUGCGCCCAUGUUUUGGCCUCAGCACAGAGCCAUCAUAGUCCUCCGGGGUUCUCCCCGUUGGAUCAGCUGUUGCAUAGCUAGACGCCGUUGAUCUAGCGGUGCUAUCGCGACCAUGUCUGCCAGAGGAAUGGGCGGAUGAAGCAGGGGCGUGAUGGUCAUCUACGUUUACUCGACCAAUUCCUCGAUCGUCACCUCGGGAAGUGUGAGGAGUAGUAGUGGAAGACGACUUGCGCCGGGAGCUUGAAGAAGAAGAGGUGUGGUCGUGGUCACCUCUGCGACGGCGGGGAGAAGACGAAGAAAUGGUGGAAACGUCAUCAGAGUCUCUCUGACGGCGGCGGGACUUGGAGGAGCUGGUAGAGGAGACCGGAGGAUCGGUAGCCCUUCCGAGCAGGCUGCGCAGCAUUAUGAAAGAGUGGUGAGUAUCAUGUCAGUAGGGAUUGAGUAAGUUCAAGUGAUAUUUGGAGUAUCGUAGAUCCAGAAGAUAUGGUAGAUAUGGUUAUAUAUGUCCUCCAGCAGGUGGUUGUUGUUGUUGUUUGUUGUUUACCAGGGAAGCAUUUAGCGCAGGAUCGAUCUUAGUUAGGGCUACAAAACCCCGAACCGAGGAAGUUUGGUUGGCAGAUAAGGUGGCUGGGGAUCCUUGGGAAUGGCCCGUAUGGACCAAAGUUAACCACAAAUACAGCUAUCACUGAUGUCGUAAAUAGUCAUAAACCCAUCACAAGGUGGUAAAACGAUAAAUAUACACAAGAAAGAGAUCGGGGACGUGGAGAGGUAUGGUGGAUGGAGAUGGCGAUGGAGAUGGAGAUGGAGUGAUGAUGAUGUUGAUGUUUAGGCUGGACUUUCUAGCGGCUGAAAUGGUGCGUGGCAACGCUGGCCCAGUAACGUGACAAGGCUGUGGCUGGCUGGGGAUGGGGAUACAGUGUGGUAUCCUCGUGAAGAGGUUUUAUUUGAGAUUGAAUCCAAAUAACAUAAAGGAAAAUAAUGGAAAUGCUAGUAGAAAUGUGAAACGCAACG